GGGCACCACCAGAAAGUGUAGCCUGCGGCUUACUUUGACUCAAAUCGUCAAAACUCACCGAGCCCGGAUUCCGUAAGGAUUGACCGAUUGAGAGCUCUUUCUUAAUGAGGUGGGUGGCGGCGCAUGGCCGAUCUUACGUGCUGGAGCGAUUUGGCUGGGUAUGUCCGAUAGCGAACUGGACUCUGGCCUAUUCCCUAGAGGAGAUUCUCGCAAGUAUAUCGCCUUCCCCUGAGGAACUCCCGGCUUCUAAACGCGAGGAAAACAAAACUACCAUGCCUGUGAUGCAAUGACUCGUCUUCCGCUGCAAACCCGCUACUUUGAACCCUUCAAGGAGCAUGAAGACCCUGUCCAGAGAGCAUGGGUAACCCCACUAAAUACUUUCGUGAUUGGCAUUUUGAAGUGGAAUUAUUUCCAUUGAGCGAGGAACUCGCAGAAAGUGGGGUCCUGUGUGUCGCGGUGAUCACCUCCCUGUCCUUUGCACACUCCGACCGUCACUACUACGGAGUGGACGAUGUAGUG
rnacentral:rRNA from 1 species